GACAGAGGUGGCAAGCGUUGUUCGGAUUUAUUGGGUGUAAAGGGUCCGUAGGUGGUCCGUUAAGUCUGAUGUGAAAUCCCAUGGCUCAACCGUGGAACGGCAUUGGAAACUGAUGGACUUGAGUACCGCAGAGGUAAAGGGAUUUCCCGGUGUAAGGGUGAAAUCUGUAGAUAUCGGGAGGAACACCAGUGGCGAAGGCGCUUUACUGGGCGGUUACUGACGCUGAGGGACGAAAGCAAGGGGAGCAAACAGG
rnacentral:rRNA from 1 species